GCGGAGGAAGGAAAAAACCAUAGAGCCUCUCAUGUAAACUCAGAAGCCUCACGCCCCAAAGGGAAAUGGAUCACCAGAGGGUCCACUUCAACCAGUAAAGGUCUUAGUGGGAGGAAUUCCCUCCCCCCACUGGGCAUCUGGAGUGUGCUGGACGAUCAGGGUCGCAAACCCAGCGAUAGCCCAAAGGGAGUUGGCGAGCCGGGGUCAGGGGAUCCUUACCUAGCCAGAUCAGUGACCUAGGUCAGGAGAUUCAGGUUUCUGCACUACACGGGAACAGAAGAAACUAUUGAGGGAAAAAUAAGCAUCCUGAAACCCAGGAAAUGGGUGCUUAGGAUGGAACCAAGGGCCUCUCAUGUCCCAGGU